UUAUUACUAUAUCAUACUUAACAAAGUCGUAAUUGCCAUAGUCCUGUAAAUCAUGGCUCAGAGUUCUAUGUUAUAUGCUACUAUCCUACUAUACUACUGGGAAGCUCUCCUUGUAAUGUUAACAAGGUAAUAUGUGCUGGACAUAAAACCCCUUGGCUAUCCUGACAUCCAAUGACUCAUUCUCAUCUUACAGCACCUUACAAUUCCUAGAAUGUGGGUGCAGGCUACAGUUUUCAAGUUACCUUGUGCAGUUGUCUGGUGGCUCUGUAAUAUUUAGCUAGCACAAUGCAUUGUACAUACAUUAUUUAAAAGUUUAGUCACAUGGAAGUUAGCAGACUAACGCAUCAUUAAGUUCUCUGUUCCAACUGACUUAACAGGAGGAGAGCAGAACUUACUUGUUAUCUCUCUCCUGUAACUCGGUUAGUCUGUUUAUGAACUAUGCAUGAUUUAGAGUACUAAAAGAGUAUUAAAUGAAUGGCAUCUGUAUUGGAUGACCACUGGUGGUUGGGUUGACCGAACAAUUUCUAUACGCUUUAAACCGACAAUUACAUAGUACAUCCCCUUGUUUAACCUCAUCUCUAUCAGCUGCAGCUGGGCAAUCACUGAUACAACAAGUGCUGCUUUUAAGUAGGUGUAUCGGUUCCAUUCAACAAACCACAGGAUUGAAAUCCCACUAACCAACAACUAGUGGUAAUUAUUAGUCCUACUACCAAACAUACUGAGGAUUUUUAUUCGCUUUUCCACCAAUUGAUGGCAUCAACGAAUAAAGAACAAGGGUCAUUGUCCUUCCUCUAAUCAUUGCGUUUUAGGCUGCUUUCGUAACAAACCAUUAGAAAGGCCAAUGGCUGUCUUGUGAAUACUCACGAAACACAGCAGAUUCCAUAGAAAAGGUGGGAUGAUGAAUCAGUUCAAAGACACCAAUAUUAUUUAGACUUAAUAGCUAGAGCAAAUGUGUCUUUGUAAAGUAUAAUGAUAGAACUUAUAACAAGAAAGUCAACCGUGAAUUUUCAUGACCAUUCCUCUUCAACAGUUGAAGGUCAUUGCAGGGGCAACUGUCUGAUACUCAAAGGGUAAAAUCCCAGUGAUCGCAAUUGGAGCGUUUGAUGAGUAAUAACUGAAUAAUAAUUGCAAGAUUUCAAGAUGUUUCGAAGUGCUCUUUCCCUGUCAUGUAAUGACUCACGCAGAAUCAUCUGCAUAUGUAGCUAAGAUAUGAAUAUUUAAUAAGACAUCAUAACGAUAUA